rnacentral:rRNA from 1 species
GACGAACGCUGGCGGCGUGCCUAAUACAUGCAAGUCGAGCGCAGGAAAUCAUCCGAACCCUUCGGGGGGAUGUCGACGGAAUGAGCGGCGGACGGGUGAGUAACACGUAAAGAACCUGCCCUCAGGUCUGGGAUAACCACGAGAAAUCGGGGCUAAUACCGGAUGGGUCAUCGGACCGCAUGGUCCGAGGAUGAAAGGCGCUUCGGCGUCGCCGGGGGAUGGCUUUGCGGUGCAUUAGCUAGUUGGUGGGGUAAUGGCCCACCAAGGCGACGAUGCAUGGCCGACCUGAGAGGGUGAUCGGCCACACUGGGACUGAGACACGGCCCAGACUCCUACGGGAGGCAGCAGUAGGGAAUCUUCCACAAUGGACGAAAGUCUGAUGGAGCAACGCCGCGUGAACGAUGAAGGCCUUCGGGUCGUAAAGUUCUGUUGUAAGGGAAGAACAAGUGCCGCAGGCAAUGGCGGCACCUUGACGGUACCUUGCGAGAAAGCCACGGCUAACUACGUGCCAGCCGCCGCAGUAA